UCAAAUCCAGUAGGUGGAUCCAGCCGCAUCGUGGACAGAGAGAAAAAGGAAACAGAAUCAGCUGGCCAGUAAAACUACACUUAAGGUAUAAUUCAUCAG